UUGUGGAUAAACGGGAUCUGGCAAGUGUUUUCUGCUGCAACUAGCUGGUUUACGGGAGGCAAUCAUAGAGCGGAAGAGUUCUUUUGGCGGAUGAGGCUUUCCUGUCCGUCCGUAUUAAGGUCCGUUCGGGUAAACCAGGGAAACUAUCUUUAUAAUAUUUCAGGAAACCUAGGACUCAAACACCGUAAACUACUAUAUUCUAGGCCAGAGCUCUACCCUAAUGUUCGCGCACGCGUGGAUAUAAUUGGAACUUCACACGGGAUGGCGACGAUACGACAACACGGGAAAAGGAAUAGUUGACCGUCCGUCUUGUCGUCCAGGUAAAAUCUAUCACUUAGUCGGAAAACCAAAAACUGAUACCAGAGCACCCCAGGCGUGGUGGUGCUGGAAAACAGCUUCUCCCUCGUUGGAUGGAGUCGUGUUGCAG